AUGGCUCAGUGAGGCCUUGGGACUGGCUCAGAGAGGUCGGCAACGACCACUCAGAGCCGGAAACUUGGUCAAACUUGGUCAUUUAGAGGAAGUAAAAGUCGUAACAAGGUUUCCGUAGGCCUCCUGCUCCCUCCGGGGGGCAAGGGGCCCGGAGUGAUCUCCAUGAUCUUUCCAACGGUGACGCCUAGGAAGCCUUAGCAGCCCGAAAGGGUGCAACUCCGCGACUGAAAACAAUGAGAUGUUCUGAAAUGCUAGUCAGCUCGUUUAUGCUGGCAACACCGUCAAAUUGCGGGAACCCCCUAAAGACCUAUGCUACCAAGCAGCGCUGGGAAACCUCGUUGUGGCCAGGGUAAUGACCUCGGGUAUGGUAAAAGCGCAUAGGUAUGAUCUCCCGGUCGUCGGGGGAGAAAUGGGCAAUCCGCAGCCAAGUCCUAAGGCCUCUUCGGGGGUACGGAUGCUGUUCACAGGCCAAAUGGUGGUGGGUAGACUCGUUUGUCUGCUUAAGAUAUGGUCGGGCCCCUAGGGAAACCUAGGGGGUAGUCACGACUACCGUCAAACAACUCGGGGGGACGUGGAGUGAAGUUCCCCCCAGGCGACGGUAGCCCCCGUAGUACAACUGUUCCGUAGGUGAACCUGCGGAAGGAUCAUUAAAGAGUAAGGGUCUUCUAGGCCCGACCUCCCAACCCUUUGUUUACCAAACCAUUGUUGCUUCGGCGGGCCCGUCCCGAGGACCGCCGGAGGACCGUCAAAACGUCCUCUGGCCCGCGCCCGCCGAUGGCCCUUAUCACCAAACUCUGUACCAAACGUGUCCUGUCUGAGUGAUUAUUAUCAAAAAUUAAAGCAAAACUUUCAACAACGGAUCUCUUGGUUCUGGCAUCGAUGAAGAACGCAGCGAAAUGCGAUAAGUAAUGCGAAUUGCAGAAUUCCAGUGAGUCAUCGAAUCUUUGAACGCACAUUGCGCCCUUUGGUAUUCCGAAGGGCAUGCCUGUUCGAGCGUCAUUAUCACCCCUCGAGCCCCUGUGGCUUGGCUUUGGACGGUCUGGUUAGGCGACUGACCCCUCCUAAAGACAAUGACGGCGGCCUCGCAGGACCCCCGGUACACUGAGCUUCUUAACUGAGCACGUAUCGGAUUGAGGGUUCUCGGGACCCGGUCUCCUUUCCCCCCUCCCCUCCCGGGGCGGUGGGAAACCAAUCUUUCUCAGGUUGACCUCGGAUCAGGUAGGGAUACCCGCUGAACUUAAGCAUAUCAAUAAGCGGAGGAAAAGAAACCAACAGGGAUUGCCUCAGUAACGGCGAGUGAAGCGGCAACAGCUCAAAUUUGAAAUCUGGCCUCUUUCGGGGUCCGAGUUGUAAUUUGUAGAGGAUGUUUCGGGUACCGCUCCGGUUUAAAUUUCUUGGAACAGAAUGUCAGAGAGGGUGAGAAUCCCGUCUUGGACCGGCGGUAGGGCCCGUGUGAAACUCCUUCGACGAGUCGAGUUGUUUGGGAAUGCAGCUCAAAAUGGGUGGUAAAUUUCAUCUAAAGCUAAAUAUUGGCCAGAGACCGAUAGCGCACAAGUAGAGUGAUCGAAAGAUGAAAAGCACUUUGAAAAGAGAGUUAAACAGUAUGUGAAAUUGUUGAAAGGGAAGCGCUUGCAACCAGACUUGCGCGCGGCGGUUCCCCCUUCCUUUUGGUUGGGUUACUCCGCCGUGUCCAGGCCAACAUCGGUUCUGGGGGCCGGUUAAAGGCCCGGGGAAUGUACCUACCCUUCGGGCGUAGACUUAUAGCCCCGGGCGUCAUGCGACCUCCCGGGACCGAGGAACGCGCUUCGGCUCGGAUGUUGGCGUAAUGGUUGUCAGCGACCCGUCUUGAAACACGGACCAAGGAGUCUAACAUCUAUGCGAGUGUUUGGGUGUCAAACCCGGAACGCGAAAUGAAAGUGAACGGAGGUAGGAAGCUCUUUUGGGGCUGCACUAUCGACCGAUCCUGAUGUCUUCGGAUGGAUUUGAGUAAGAGCAUAGCUGUUGGGACCCGAAAGAUGGUGAACUAUGCCUGAAUAGGGUGAAGCCAGAGGAAACUCUGGUGGAGGCUCGCAGCGGUUCUGACGUGCAAAUCGAUCGUCAAAUUUGGGUAUAGGGGCGAAAGACUAAUCGAACCAU
rnacentral:rRNA from 1 species